CGAAGGGGGCUAGCGUUGUUCGGAAUUACUGGGCGUAAAGCGUUUGUAGGCGGUCUUUUAAGCCAGUGGUGAAAGCCCAGGGCUCAACCCUGGAAUUGCCACUGGUACUGGAAGGCUAGAGAAUGUUAGAGGUUAGUGGAAUUCCUAGUGUAGGAGUGAAAUCCGUAGAGAUUAGGAGGAAUAUCGAUGGCGAAGGCAGCUAACUGGAACAUUUCUGACGCUGAGAAACGAAAGCGUGGGUAGCAAACAGGAUUAGAUACCCUGGUAGUCCACGCCCUAAACGAUGAGUGCUAGACGUCGGGACGCAAGUCUCGGUGUCGCAGCUAACGCGUUAAGCACUCCGCCUGGGGAGUACGGUCGCAAGAUU
rnacentral:rRNA from 1 species